CAGCGACAGUGAUGCUCGGAAGGAGUGCGCGGAGACCCAUAUAAAAGGAACCCCAAAAGUGAAAACCUGUUCGUACUGUCUCGCGGCUACAGAGGAACCACUGAGGCCAUGAAGUCCCUGCUCGCUAUUCUUCUCGUUGUGGCCCUGUGCCUGGUUGUCGCCUACGCGCAAUUUGGAUACGGAGGGUACGGCGGCUAUGGAGGAUACGGCGGUUAUGGUGGAUACCGUCGCCCAUACUACGGUGGAUACGGUGGAUACGGUCGCUUUCGACGAUACGGAGGCUACGGUGGCGGCUACGGUGGCGGCUACGGUGGCGGUUACGGUGGCGGCUAUGGUCGCUACGGUGGAUAUGGCAGAUACCCAUACGGCGGCGGUGGAUUCUACGGUUAAAUUACCGGAAUCCCACACCCAACUGUCUUCACCUUCUCAACAGUUCCACCUCCGGCCUACUGUGGGCCAUGUGAUACGAAUGUCGAAUUCUUUUAAUUCCUGUCCGGAAAUAAACAGCCUGUUUUGUUUGUAA